rnacentral:ncRNA from 1 species
GAUAGAGGUGCGGUAUUGCGUGUAAUACGGCGUAGGCUGCCAGAGCCUGUGAUCCCGUGUGAAUAGCCUUGCCGCCGAAAAGCUGGGUUUUGGCAUGCUCCGCUUUGGUUAUAUGCCGCAGCGGUAUAUAACUGUCAUCAUAACCUUGUUUGAUGGAGAGCUAUCG